rnacentral:lncRNA from 1 species
UUGUACGCCCCAGCAGACUUCGUGGUGAUAGAGACUGGUACUGAUGAGAGGGCACCCAUCAUCCUAGGGAGGCCAUUCCUAAACACCUGAGUAACUGUCAUCUAUGCUAGUGCUGCCAAGAUCAGUUUCUACAUCAAGGGGAGGAAGGAGACGUUUUCCUUCAAGAACAAGACUAUACAAAUCUCAGAGCAUUCCCGACAUGAACUAAGGAAGAGGACCAACAGGAGGAACAGGAACAAGAAAGUGUGGACCGAGUCAGCUAAGAUGGCCACUACAGUUCAAGGAGGUCAAGAUCAUCUAUUUAAGUCACCGUUCCUGACCAAAAAGGACGACCUAGGCAUGCCAAGCAUCCAGUGCUCCAUUAAUGGAUACAACUUCCAGAAGACACUCUACGACACCGGGUCAGGCAUCAACAUAAUGGCCGCAGUCACUUAUCAGCUCCUGCAUGGAACCAUGUCCCUACAACCAACAUACAUUCAGCUCCAGAUGAUUUUAAGGUUAUUGACAUGGGAGAAGACAAGUACGAUCCACCCAUCAUCCUUGGAAGACCGUUCCUCAGCACUGUUAAAGCAAUCAUCUACAUUGGAACCGGAGAAGUCCACAUGCACUUCCCCUCUGAGAAGGUACGCUGCUAUUUUACUGACCCUAACUAUAUAGUUGAAGACUCUAAGCAGGUCAGGACAAGAAGAAGACAAUGCAACCGCAACUAGAGGAGGCAAAUUAUCAAGGACGGAUGGACAGACUACGAAGGAGAAGUAGUGAGGUCUGAAGACAUAUAGCUUGAACAGAACUGUCCUGAUGAGACCGUAGCACCGAGUCAGGUGUGGAGAGAGAAGAUAGUUAUACACGAAGAAGAAGCGUCGCCGGAACCACCGACUACGCCAUCCAGCAAAUCCCAGGACAACUGAGAGUCCCGUUCGGAGGACUUGAAAACGCCGAACGCCUUGCCAAGAGGUAAACUUGGUAGUUAUCUUUUUUCCUUUCAAUUAUUUUAAAAUAGUUUGCUUAGUUAAUCAGGUUCACAUCAUCUUAAAAAGAAAAUAAAAAUGUUAAAAAUAGUAAGCCCCAUGUGAGUAUGCUCAUGGCAUAAAACCCAUAAGUACAUCCACUGUGGUGGCGUAAAAAUGAAAUAAGUAUAUUCCUAUCCUAUAAAAAUAAAAUUAUAAAAAUUAAUGAUCCUACUAAAGAGAGUAACAUUUAUUGAGGAGGCUCAACAUGAUAAAGGCUAGAUAUUUAUGCUAACACUUAACUAGUUCCACAAAGCUUUGUUGUCUAUUUGAGCUCCACAGAAUUCAAGGAUCAAAGAAGACUAGCAGACAGAGAACAUCCUAAUCGCUGUCAGGGUGCUGCCAGACAUACCUCCGCCACCUGCUGGCUACAUCAGAAGAAAUUACGUCAAAAUCCAGCUUGGGGGAGAGCACCCCCAUUUAUCCAGCUAAGUAUUCUACUCACGACUAUACUUUACUCAAAUAAUAAAAAGAUGCAUAAUCAUAAAAACCCAAAUAAAGAUUUUGUGCUUAUAUAUAUCUUUGCUUAGUUUGCUAAAUAAAUAAAUAAAUAAAAUUUGCUAUGAACCCGCAUGAUAAGCUCUCAUAUGGAAAUGAUGAAUAGUUGCUCUGCCAUGACUAGUUCUCAAAAUUGAAAUCUCUCUCAAGUUUAGGCAUGACUAUUAUUAGUUAAGAUUUGCUCUAAACCUAAACUUGUGGGAAGAGUACUUGAUCUAAAGUCUAAGUCGUUAACGGAUAUGAUAUGGGAAGGUUGAGCUGCUGUUUAUCUGUUCCUAGAGAUACUAGAAUUCUGGAGAAUUUUAUCUUUGAAAAUCUUUAAAAUGUUGCAUGAUGAGUUCCUGUAUGAUGAGAGUUUAAAUUCCUACCACAACCAUAUAUACAUGCUUAUUAGACUAUGAACCACACAUUUACUUUUUACUACUUAUGAGCAUUGAGUGUGGUCAAGCUGUGUAGACCCUUAGGAGCUUGUCAUGUGGUUAAAAUCAAGAUUCACUUGCACGUUCACUCAUACAUGCUACUUCUACUUCAGAAGUACGCAUCCACAUAUAUCCAUCCACUUGCAUCUCCAGAACCACCCAAAAAUAUUCUACUCCUAAUCCGGGAGAGAAUAGCCAAAAACAUUCUCCUAUUUCUGUUUUCCCCUGUGAAAUAAAUGCUCAAGUUAUCUUAGUUACUACCACUUGCUAUAUUAUUUCAGGAGAUGAGUGCUCUAAAAAAAAGAAAAAAAAGAAAGAGAGAAAAAAAAAGAGAUACGAGGAAAUAAAAAGGGGCAAGUGCCCGGAACCUCGAAAGAAAAAAAAAGUGAGACGAGAGGUAAAAAUGGACAAGUGUCCGACAGUAGAAUUAGGGGUACAAGAUACCCACCUGAGAGAAAAGAAAAAUAAAAUAUAGAGCAUCUCAUUCUCCUCAAAAAGUUUCAAAAGAGCAAGAAAGGUAUGUAUCCGCUCAAAAGAGCAAAAGUAGAAUUAAACUUUCACCAUUGUUAUCACCAUCAUUACCAUGCACCAUUCAUUCGCCACACAUGCACAUCUUGAUUUGACUUAUUGACUUGUUCUUCUGGAUCCAUGGUUUGACUAUGCAAUAAAUGUCUUGUAAGUAUGUAUUAGCUGUCUCCCACCUAUGAGCUCCAGAUAUCAAAACCUUAUUAGAGUAGGGUGAGAGAGAAGGCAAUGCCACUAUGCCUUAUACCACAAAUACCACAUACUUUGAGAGAAGGCAUAUACCAUUACUGCCUUGGUAAGGAUCCAGAAAUACCACAAAUGAGAGACUAGAGAGAGUCAUACAAGGAAUCUCUGAGUUUUAUUUGAAAAUCUGCAAAAACCCCAGAGCUAUAGCUGAUCAAGAAUAAGAGACAUGGCACUUGACUAGACUGUUCUAUUUUUUAACUACUCAAGACAGAAGUGACGGUUGCAAGCCCCAUGGUGAAGGUAAAAUGAGUAAGUUUAAUUCUUAACAGUUUACCCUAACUCAGAGAUGAGAUCUUGUUUGAACUCAUGUGUACAUUUAAGGCAUGAAACCACUGCAGAAACUCUUGAGUUCAUCUUUGCUCAGGGACGAGCAAAGGUUAAGCUUGGGGGAGCUUGUUGACGGUCCUUAAUGCUCACAUUUAACCAUCAACUAAUCAUAGAAAAGGAUCCAAAUGCAACCAACACCUAGACUUAGGGUUUUAUUUGACAGAAUUUCACAAGUUUGGUGUUUGUCUAUUUCUGCAGGGAGUUAUCAGGAAAUACGGAAGAAAGGCCCACACGUCGGGUUUACAUAGAGAUAUUAACGUGCCGCGCAAUUUUCUAUCAUCUAGAAGACUCCAGAAGCCACAGGACCGAACGGGAGACGUAACGGAGCCGGGCACUGGGCGCCCGUCCUCCCUUACUGGGCGCCCGCCCUCCCCCCUGGACCAAUCAGGGUGAAGUUCGGGGAUCAUGCUCCACCGACCUAAUACUUCAAGGAAAACCACACGAUCAAUGUCGGUUUGAUCCGACGGCCCAGAUUCACUUGAAGGGACUAUAAAACCAGACCCCCCUGGCCCCUGGAGAUUAUACCUCUUCUACAGAAUCAAAGUUAGGGUUUCAAUUCUUCAUCCAAGUAGAGAGGAUCCCUCUAGUUCUUCUAGUUCUACCUCUAGUUCAUCUAGAUCUAGUUCUAGUUCAUCUAGUUCUAGUUCUAGUUCCUCUAUUUCUAGUUCUAGUUAGUUCUAGUUGUAAUCUAGAAAAUAGGGAGAGAGAAGAGGAGAGCGGAGGAGGAGCCGGAUCUGUCGGAUCUUCCUCAACAUUAUACUUUUGCAGCAUCUGGUUCGUUCUUCAUCGUUCUCCAGGUUCUUCAAUUCAUAAUCCUGAGUUCUUUAAUUAUUUUUAUUUACAUUCAAGUUAUUUAUUGGAUUCCCGCUUGCAUCAAGUGCUCUAGUCUUUAUAACGCUAGAGUAGUAAUUAAUAGAUUAGACGUGGUGUUUAGUCUUGCGAUUACCUGGAAUUGCACCCAAUCCUGCGGAUUGUUGUGGUAGCCCUAGGGUAGUGACAGCCCUAACGGUCGACGUAUUCCACCACGUUCGGAUCGGUGUUUGUAGGACCGUAGUCAGACCUUCUUAGCCCCCUUCUCAUCUCUUUCUGUGGUUAGUGCUCUGAUGUUCCGAUAUAGAUAAUCUUGAAGUAAUUCUUGAUUCUUAGAUCAACUAGAGAACUCUCAGGAAACUUCCUCUCUUCCCACCAAAAAUAAUUAUAUAGUUAUCCUUGGGCGAUCUUGGAUCUUAAUUAGUACACUCACGUUCUCUGUGGAAAAUCGAUACUCUGGAAUACUCCCGGGUGAAGGCUACAUCGGUAUCCGUGCGCUUGCGGAUUUUUUCUGUUUGCGUUUAAAAUACCCAACACUCAGUCAACUUCCUGUUUCAUGGUGAUGCGUCACGCGCCUUCUUCCAUCUCGUUUCUGUCUCUUUUGCUUCUCUCUUUUUUGGCUCAAGCUCUUCAACUUUAUUCUCUUUCUCCCAUGCUUCUAACUGUGCUGAUAGCUAGGUGUUGAUAUUUGGUAACGCAAUCAGGAAUUAAUCCGCAAGCGCACGGAUAUCAGUGAGCACUUCACCCGGGAUGUUAUCCAGAGUAUCGUAUUUAUAUUUUUACCACUAGGAGAAAGCAUGUAUCUGACUAACCAAAUCUAUUACUACUAACCUUUAGGCUACAACCACUAUGAUUCAAUGUGAGUGAUGUAUAGAGAAGACUUCAACUGCACCCUCAAUCUAACCUUGGUAAGGAUGAUCUACUGUUCUGUUGGGGAGGCUCACGGAAUCUAAACACCACAGAGGAUGUUUGACCCGCACCUAUAAACCCUAUCGAUCCUGCUAACGGGAUUAUGGGCUACAAAGGUAGCUCGGAAAUGUCACGUUCCUUGCUACUACCAUGGUCCGGCUAGACAGGGGAAAUCUAUGAGUAUCCUAGCCCAAACACCACGUUUACGCUAGAGAUGAUUACUCUAAACUCUACGCGAAGAGAUCAAAGUAAACUCAUAAACCAAAGAACAAUAAAACAAAGAACUUACUAGAAUUUGGAAGUCGAAAUACAGAAGAAUCCUAGGAGCAAGCCUCGGGUUAAGAGACUUGAUCUUGCAGGUACAACCUUGGAGUAGACAUGAGAGGCCGGGCUUCCUCCGAUCUACACCUCCACUCUAUCUCUCUCAAUCUAGUAGAACUAAUUCUACUCUCACAUUGGAUGCUAAGCCCUAUGAGGUUGGAACCCUAAAGGAACCUCUCUCUCUCUGAAUCUCCUCUGGAAAAUAUGCUAAUGAAUAAUAGGAUUGCCUUCUCCAGGGCCAGGGGCCCUGCUUAUAUAGCCCUCUCAAAUGAAUCUGGGUCGUCAGAUCAAACCGACCUUGAUUGAACGAUUUUCCUUGAUCCUUAGAGAUGGUGGAGCAUAAUCAGCGUGACGCAUGCUGAUUGGCCAGCAGAGGAGGGCGGGCGCCGUGCCUGUGGGCCCACUCGACCUCCCGCUCGUUCGUGUGGCUUCUGGACUCUUUUAGGCUGAGGAAAAUUGGUGCACAAGUUAAUAUCUCUAUGUAAACCCGAUGUGUGGGCCUUUCUUCCAUAUUUCCUGAUAACCCCCUGCAGAAAUAGAUAAACAGCAAAACUCGUGGAAUUCUGUCAGAUAAAACCCUAAUUCUAGGUGUUGCUUGCAUAUUGGUCCUUUUCCUUAUUUAUUUAUUUGAUGAUUAAAAUUGAUACUUAAGAACCAUCAACAAACACCCCCAUACUUAGGCUUUUAUUCGUCCUCGAGAAAAGGGUGGUUUAGAAAAAAUAUCUGGGGUUAAAACAUUGCAAAGCAUUCUUUUCAUACCUGCAGGGUAAAAAUCCACUGUGUACCGUAGUCAGGGAAAUAUAUGGUCAAAUGUAGAGAUCCUUUCUUCUUCUCAAUCCUGCCACUUGGAGUUUUUGUAUAUUUUUUUGAAAAGAAAUUUAGCAUACCUUUAUCCUCAUAGGUUCUCUUAGAUCACUCAUUUAUCUUUUGUAUAUCUCACUGAGGCUGUUUUAAUUUGCAGAAAUUCUCAAGCAUUCUUACCUAAUCAAAACGGGAUCCGAGGAGACGAAUGCCAUACUCUUAGAUAAAAAACUUUGAAAAUUAAAAACUUGUCAACUCUUACUGGCAUAUUGCUUAUUAGAGGGAUCAUGGGCUAUCAUUUUAUUUUUUUAUCAUAUUUUUAUCAUAUCUCAUUUUUUCAGGUGGAUACCGAGGUACCCCUAAUUCUACUGCCGGACACUUGUCCAUUUUUUUCUGCAAGGUUGUCGAGCACUUGCUCCUUUUUAUUUCCUCGAAAUUCAUAUUUUUGCAUAGCCCAUGCCUCUAAUGCAAUAAUACUUCGGAAGAGUAAAUCUUUCUAAAUAAAAAUGUCUUGAUCUUAGGAGCAUGAUAAAUCUCUCAACAAGGGUCUAACUUGUUUUGAACAAACUAAUACAAAGCGGAUAAUUUUUUUGUAAUUUAUAUUUUCAGGUUUAGCAGGCAUUUAAAACACUGAGGAUGGUAGCUAGAAUUUUUUGAAGAUUUUAAAAUUAAUUCUCCAAGCGACAAAGAUAUAAAAAAUAAGGUACUCAUACUCUACCAUCUCAUAUUCCAUAGUGACUUAAGUAACACAGGGUUUUUAAAUGAUUUUUAAUAAUUGCAGGUUUUCAGGAAAUAUCACAGAGUGAGAUCAAUUAUGAUUAGAAGUUUUUUUUUAUCUUUUUAAUUUAUCAUGUUAGAGACAAUAUUCUGCACGAAUCAAGAUAUAUGUGUAUGUGUAAAGCGUGCAAAUACCUGAAUCGUGGAGUGGUGUAGUCAAAGUGCGUUUGGCAUGUCAGGGGAUCUCCCCCAUACUUAUUUUCUGUUUACUUACGUAAAAAUAAAGUAGAGACACACAAGACAUAAUAAUAAUAAUCUUUAUUAAUCUUGAGGCAUUUAUUACAACUGACUAAUAAAUAAUGAACUGAAUCUAAUAAUAGAUCUAAGCCGAAUCUAAUCGAAUCUAAUGAUGAAUAACUAAGAUACACUGCCUCAAGAUCUAAUCUAGAUAACUUAGUGGACUCCCUAAUUUUCUUAUUAGCACUAGCAAGAUCACGAUUAAGACCUAGUAUAACGGUGUUCUGGUUAGAGAGCUGCCUAUUGAUGAAGUUAACCGAGGACUGGAGCUCUAUGAUGACCUUGUCUAGCCUAUGAACGUCCUCAUCUACAUCUGCUAUAGUCUUACGGCGCUUAGGAGGUGUCUCGAGAGCGUUAAGGCCGUGCUUCGGGGCUUCCUUUGGAGGGAUGAAGCGGACUUUGGGUGCUUUAACCCCCUCGAAGCAAGGCCUCUCCUCCGCCGUGGUGUAGCGAAUGCUGCUGAUCUCACCGCUCCGGUUGGUCUUGACUCUGACGACCCGCUCAUUGGGUCUAGGCGGCAGGAUCCUCGUGCCGGCUGGCACCUUGACGAUGGCCUCCUUCUUGGCUGACGGCCCCUUGAGAAGUAGGGGCUGCGGCGGGGCGGUGAGCACUUGUUGGGCAUAUUAGGAUUGGGUGGAGCUGCGCUGGCGUGAUGGCAUGGCAGCUAGCUGUCGCUCUGUGUUGGCCGGGACGAGAGCGUAGGCGUCGGGGUCUUCCUUGGGCUUCUUGUUAAGUUCGUAGGGGACGACUUCCCAAUCGUCGUGGAACUUGUCGGCCAUUGGAGCAGCGAGGAACUAAACAAGCUCUAAUUGAGGAAGGAGAGAAGGCUUGAAUGAAUUGGUGUUGAAAGCUGACGUCAGGGGUCUGUUGAUAUAGGGGUCAAAAAGUGCAUCUAGGGUUUGCUCGGGUUACUCCCACCGCCAUGCGUGCGUAACAAACCAUCCGUGUGAUUAUUUGGAUAACCAUAGAUGAGUUUAUCGUGACGGAGGAGAUAGGGGCUGGGCGCCCGCCCUCAUCCUCAGGGCGCCCACCCUAUGUCUAGCCCCUUUGUGGACCCGCCUCCUCGAGCGUGUUUCUAGAUGCAUUUUUUAUUCUGAAAAAUAUAUACAUGGUCCAAAAACAUCAGAUUAAAAAGGUCGGGCUCUAAUUCUCUAUGGGAAGGUAAAAAUGGAUCACGUCUAUUUCUUAUAAUUCUUUAUUGGGCUCUAAAAAUAAUUUAAGACAUUGACCAUUUACCUUGAAUAACGUACCUUCGUCAUUUUGAAGUGUGAUAGCUCCGUGGGAUGACGAAUGUUGGUGGUGAGUGGCAUGGCAUCUCUUGUCAAGAUGAACUCACACUUCUUUGAUGGGGGAAAUGGACCCAUGUAGUCUAUUCCCCAGACAUCAAAGAGCUCAAUCUGAAGGUUGUUGGUGAGUGGCAUGGCAUCUCUUGUGUUUAUGUGUCCGUGCCUUUGACAUGGCCCACAUCUUUUGAUAUAUUGAUUCGUGUCUUCAUACAUUGUAGGCCAGUAGAAUCCACACUGCCAGAUCUUUGAAUGUGUACGGAAUGCUCCAUAAUGACCUCCAUAUGGUGAUGAAUGACAUCUGUCGAUGAUCCUCCAUCCUUCCUCGGUGGUCACACAUCUCUUGAGUAAGCCAUCAGAGCAUACUCAGAAGAGGUAUGGCUCAUCCCAUAUAUGUGAACGACUUUCUUAAAUAAGCUUCUUCUUGUUCACUCCUGGUGGUACAUACCCUGAAACCAUAAAAUUAACAAUAUCUACAUACCAGGGGUCAGACCUGUUAAUCCCGUAGAGCAUGUCGUCCCGGAGUGAAUCAUUAAUGGGGGUUUCCUGUGUAUUCUUAAAAUGCAUUCUAGACAAGUGAUCAGCAAUAGAAUUUUCUACUCCCUUUUUAUCUUUUAUUUCUAUGUCAAAUUCUUGAAGUAAUAAGAUCCAUCUAAUCAGGCGAGGUUUAGCAUCUUUUUUAGUGAGCAGAUAUUUUAGUGUAGCAUGAUCCGUGUAAACAAUUAUUUUAGCUCCUACUAAAUAAGAUCUAAAUUUAUCAAUGGCAAAGACAACAGCCAGAAGCUCUUGUUCAGUGGUUGCAUAAUUAAGUUGAGCUCCUGUCAAAGUUUUACUAGCAUAAGCAAUUGCAUGAUGCUUCUUAUUUUUAGUUUGUCCCAAAACUACCCCCACAGCAUAAUCACAGGCAUCACAAAUAAUUUCAAAAGGCAACGACCAAUCAGGAGGUUGAAUGAUUGGCGCAGAGAUGAGUGCAUUCUUUAUUAAACUGAAAGAUGUUAGGCAUGCAUCAUCAAAUUCGAAAGGAGCAUCCUUAGCUAGUGUUGAUGGUCCUUAAGUAUCAAAUUUAAUUAUCAAAUAAAUAAAGAAAAGGAUCCAAAUGAAAUCAACAUCUAGACUUAGGGUUUUAUCUGACAGAAUUCUACGAGUUUUGGUGUUUGUCUAUUUCUGCAGGGGGUUAUCAGGAAAUACAGAAGAAAGGCCCACACGUCGGGAUUACAUAGAGAUAUUAACGUGCCGCGCAAUUAUCUUACAUCUAGAAGACUCCAGAAGCCACAAGACCGAAGCGGAGGCGAAACGGGGCCAGAGGCAGGGCGCCCGCCCUGUUCUCCUGGGCGCCCGCCCACCUCCUGAGUCCAAUCAGGACUCUGCUUCGCGGGAGAUCUCCACCGACCUAAAGGAUGAAUCUAAACCAUACAAUCUAUGUCGGUUUGAUCCAACGGCCCAUAUUCACUUGAAGGGACUAUAAAACCAGACCCCCUGGCCCCUGGAGGAGAGAGCCUCUCAACCCUAAUUCAUUGUUCUUCAAGGGAGAAGAAGCCUCUGAUAAAGAUUAGAGCCACCACAUCAAUUAGAUAUCUAGAUUUGCAUAGCUACAUAGGAUUAGAACUAGAAGGAGUCAAUCUUCGAUUGGUUUCCGGAUCUGUCAAGAGGAUUCUUGGUAAUUCUCUAAUUGUGCUUCUAAUUACUUUCUAAUUAUCUUUGUUCUUCAAUAUUAUGAAUAUGACUUUGUUGUACUUCAAUAUAUUGCUUAUGACUUUGCUCUAAGUGCUUAUAUUCAAGAUUAUAUUGUUCUUAGUUUAUCAUAGUUAUGUACUUGGCUUAGUUAGAUUGGAUCUAUAUACAUGCUUAGGAUCGUAUAGCGUUUAUCCAUCGGAUCCAUGGGUAAAUGAUAGAUAUUUUGUAGGCGUGGUGCUUAUACCGUAUUUAUCUGCGAUUGUACCCAAUAUUCCAGAUCGUGGGGUAGUUCAUGAUAGUGACAGCUUCAUUGAUUCUUGUAUAGUCCCCCUCUCGUGUAUUGGGCUGGCAGAGCAACAUUAUUACAGGGGAGUGAUUGCUAUGUUUCUCAUAUUCCUUGCUAAUAUCACUAUGCAUGGGCGUAGUCUUGUCUCACAAUGAUUGCUAAGUAUGCUUGCACUAACUAUGAUAUGCUAGACUAUAUAGUUAAGAAUAACUUAGGGAAUAUUCUUGUAGUUCGUUCUAAUACCAUGCUAAUGACUUUCUAGAGUAUCUAAUUGAGGUGCUUAUCAUAUUUAUUAUGUGGCUAGAUCAGAUUAGUUAUCCUUGUCACUAUUAUUAUUUCAUAUAUCUUUUAUGUGACACUUAUCCCUGUAUGAAGAGUUAGAUAUAAUGUUCUCAAUUAUACAUGCAAUGAUAGAUAUAAUGUUCUCAAUUAUAAUGUUCUGUAAUCAAUAUUGAUGAUUGCUAAUCCCUUCCCAGUGGUAAAAAUAUAAAUAACGAUACCUGGAAUACUUCCCGGUUAAAAUGCUGCAUCGGUAUUAAUCUGUGCGCUUGCAGAUCCCAUUCAUUAUUUAUUUAGAAGAGCAAUUGCAUAUUUCAAUACCGCGUCUCGUAUAUCAUGCUAGGGAUGACAACUUGGCUUAAGUGGUGUGAGGGAUAGGUUUGGCAUUUUUUGGCACCGUUACUAGAUUUAGAGAACUUAGUCUACUUUUGGUAAUGAUGUUAAGAAUACCCAACAAGCAUUUUUGGCGCCGUUGCCAGGGAAGGUUGAUUACUAAUCAGGAAUGGAAUAAAAGAUUUUGAGUUAUCAUUCGCAUCACUAAUAUGAUUGAGCUUAUCUAUUCUCUCAUACAGUUUUACCCCGAUAUUUUUCUAUUUUAUCUUAUGCAGGGGAAUGUAUGAAUAGAAGACAUCUUCGAGGAAAUUUUGUUGACAAUCCCGAAGCAUUAUUCAAGAAGAUGAGAGCCAAGCUCAAGAAGAGAUCAUCAACACUUCAGCAAGAAGCUUCAUCCAAUCAUGAAGAUCACCGGAACUUGUCUUCAGAGUUCGAGGCCAUGGCGAACAAAUCAAUCCGCGAGUUCUCAGCUCCCACUACGGACAACAUCCGCACUGGACCUGCUGCAGAGAUCGACGGCAACUUUGAGCUCAAGCCUGGACUUAUCAACAUGGUACAAUCCAACCAGUUCUGUGGGAAGGCACACGAAGAUGCUAGUGCUCAUUUACAACACUUCCUGGAGAUUUGCAACACAUUCACCAUAUCAGGAGUUUCCAAAGAUGCUAUACUACUUCGCCUCUUCCCAUUCUCACUGUUAGGAAGAGCGAAGCAGUGGUUCUACACUACAAAGGAGAAGAAUACUACGUGGGCACUCUGCUCAACAAACUUCCUGGCUAAGUUCUUUCCCAUGGGCAAGACCAAUGCUCUCCGUGGGAAGAUUACAAGAUUUCAGCAACAAAAUGAUGAAUCUGUUCCAGAAGCAUGGGAGCGCUUUCAAGACUACAUCCUAGAAUGUCCCCAUCAUGGAAUGGAGAGUUGGCUACUGAUGCAGACGUUUUAUCAUGGGCUCGGCAACAGUGCCUGAGAGACCAUGGAUGCUGCAGCUGGAGGAGCAUUCUUAUCACUUACUAUACCAGAAGCCACAGCUCUUGUGGAGAAGAUGGCGUCCAAUCAAAGCUGGAAUGAAGAGAGGUGGAGGUAUGCAUCAGCUGAAGGAGGUAGACAUGCUGUCUGCAAAGCUAGACCUGCUCAUGAAGAAGCUCGACGAUAGAGCUAGAAACAAGAAAGAAGUUAUGCACAUCUACGACUCUCACAUGACUUGUGAGGAGUGUGGAGACACUGGACACUCAGGCAACCACUGCCCUGAGAUACUUGAGGAUGUGAACUACAUCAACAACAACAACAACUACUACAACCGUCCUCAACAAAAUCAAGGUUGGAAUCAACAGAGGCCUAACUACUCAGGUAAUUAUCAAGGUAACAAUUCUUACAACAAUAAUAAUAAUUUUCUACCUCUAAGAGAGUUAGUGUCUAAUCAAGGAAAGCUAAUGGAUAAUCUAUCUAAAGAAAUUGGCAUCAAAUGAUAAAAUGCUAGAAAAUAUAAAUAAUAGAAUGGAUAAUUUUUCUACUGCCAUCAAGAAUCAAAUUAGCUUUAAUAAAAUGAUUGAAUCCCAGUUAAAUCAAAUAGCUGCUGCUGUUCCCGUUACUAACCCCGGUAUACCAUCACAACCAGAAGGAUUAGAAUCUGCAAAUCUUGUAGACAUGUUUGAUGCAGGUAAUUAGAGUAACCCCGUCACUGAAUUCUCUACUGACCUUCUGCCGGUCAAGAGAGGCGAUCCAGGACGCCCCGUCGUCCCGAUCUCCAUCGGCAUGGUGGACGUUCCAGAAGCACUCUGUGACUUUGGCUCUAGUGUCAACAUUAUACCCAGGGUACUCUAUGAAAAAUUCUUUACAUAUCCUUUAUUAGAGACAACCAUGUGUUUGCAGUUUGCAGAUCAGACGAUAACUUUUCCAAAAGGAAUAUUGAAGAACCUUUGUGUCCGAGUUGGUACCUUAUAUGCUCUAGCAGACUUCGUAGUGGUAGAGACCGGAAAUGAUGAGAGAGCACCCAUCAUCUUAGGGAGGCCAUUUUUGAACACCACGGGAGCUAUCAUCUACGCCAGUGCUGCCAAGAUCAGUUUCUACGUCAAAGGGAGGAAGGAGACAUUUUUCUUCAAGAACAAGACUACACAAAUUCCAAAUCAAUCCAGACGUGAAUCAAGGAAGAGGACCAACAGGAGGAACAGGAACAAGCAAGUGUGGACCGAGUCAGCUAAGAUGGUCACUGUAGUUCAUGGAGGCCAAGAUCAUCAACUUAAGUCACCGCUUUUGACCAAGAAGGACGACCCAGGAAUGCCAAGCAUCUACUGCUCCAUAAAUGGAUACAACUUCUACAAGGCAACUUGUGACACCGGAUCGGGCGUCAACAUAAUGGCUGCAGUCACCUAUCGACUCUUGUUCGGAACCAUGCCCCUAAGACCAACAUACAUUCAGCUCCAGAUGGCAGAUCAGACAUUUCGAGAAGUUAACGGAAUAGUAACUGAUGUCCCAUUCAAAAUAGACGAUCAUUUUGUCUACACAGACUUUCAAGUUAUUGACAUGGGAGAAGACGAAUAUGAUCCACCCAUCAUCCUUGGAAGACCGUUCCUCAGCACUGUUAAAGCAAUUAUCUACAUUGGAACCAGAGAAGUCCAUAUGCACUUCCCCUCAGAGAAGGUACGCCGUUAUUUUACUAACCCUAACUAUAUCGUUGAAGAAUCUAAGCAGGUCAGAAAGAGACGCAACCGCAACCAAAGGAGGCAAAUCAUCAAGGACGGAUGGGCAGACUAUGAAGGAGAAGUUGUAAGGUCAGAAGACGUAGAGUUUAAAUAGAAUUAUCUAGAGGAGACGGAAGCACCAAGUCAGGUGUGGAAAAUGAAGAUAACUAUACAUGAAGAGGAGGCGCUGCCGGAAGAACCGACUACGCCACCCAACGAACCUCAGGACAAUUGAGAAAAUGGAGAGUCCCGUUCGGAGGACUUAAAAACACCGAACGCCUUGCCCAGAGGUAAACUUGGUAGUUAUCCUUUCCCUUUUAAUUAUUUCAAAUAGUUUACUUAGUUAAUUAUGUUCAUACUAUCUUAAAAAGAAAAUAAAAAUGUGAAAAACAUUAAGCCCCAUGUGAGUAUACGAGUGGCAUAAAACCCAUAAGUACAUUCACUGUGGUGGCAUAAAAAUAAAAUAAAUAUUUUUCUGCUUUAUAAAAUGAAAAUAUAAAAAUAGGGAGUAAUAAUUAUUAAGGAGUCUCAACAUGAUAAAGGUUAGAUAUUUAUGCUAACACUUAAUUAGUUCCACAAGCUUUGUUGUCUAUUUGAGCUCUACAGAAUUUAAGAAUGUAAGAAGACUAGCAGACGGAGGACAUUCUAAUCGCUGUCAGAAUGCUGCUGACUUUCAAAUACACCUCUGCCACCUGUUAGCUACAUCAAGAGAAAUUACGUCAAAAUUCAGCUUGGGGGAGAGCUCCCCCAUUUAUCUCGAUAAGUAUUUCUAUCUAUCUAUCUCUAUACUUAUAUUAUAUUUUAAAUAUUUAUAACUAUGAAAAACCAAAUAAAGAUUUUAUGCUUAUAUAUAUAUAUAUCUUUUGCUUAGUGUGAUUAAUAAAUAAAUAAAGUGGCUAUGCUAAUCUGUAUCUUAAUAAUAAAACUUAAGCAUGGAUAUGAUGAAUAGUUGCUCUGCCUAAUUUGCAAAUUUUAAGUUCUCUCUCAAGUUUAGAUAUAACUGUUAUAAUUUAAGGCUUGCUCUAGACCUAAACUCGUGGGAUGAAAACUUGAUCUGAAGUCUAAGUUGUUAACGGAUACGAUAUGGGAAGGUUGAGCUACUUUUUAUCUGUUCCUAGAGAUGCUAGAAUUCUGGAGAAUUUUAUCUUUGAAAUUUUUUAAAAUGUUGCAUGAUGAGUUCCUGUAUGAUGAGAGUUUAAAUUCCUACCACAGCCAUAUAUACAUGCUUGCUAGACUUUGAGCCACACAUUUAAUAUUUACUGCUUAUGAGCAUUGAGUGUGGUCAAGCUGUGUAGACCCUUAGGAGCUUGUCAUGUGGUUAAAUCAAGAUUUCACUUGCACGUUCACUCAUAUAUGCUACUUCUACUCCGGAAGUACCAUCCACAUAUAUCCACCCAUUCCAUUUCCAGAACCACCCAAAAAUAUUCUACUCCUAAUCCGAGAGAGAAUAACCAAAAAUAUUUCUGUUUUUCCCUUGUGAAAUAAAUGCUCAAGUUAUCUUGUUACUACCACUUGCUAUAUUAUCUCAAGAGAUGAGUGUUUAAAAAAAAUAGAGAAAAAUACGAGGAAAUAAAAAGGAGCAAGUGCUCGGAACCUCGAAAGAAAAAAAAAAGUGAGACGAGAGGUAAAAAUGGACAGGUGUCCGACAAUAGAAUUAGGGGUACAAGAUACCCACCACCUGAGAGAAAAGAAAAAAGAAGAGCAUCUCAUUCUCCUCAUAAAGUUUCAAAAAGCAAGGAAGGUAUGUAUCCCCUCAAAGAGCAAAGUAGAAUUAGACUUCCACCACCCUUGUUAUCACCAUCAUCACCAUACACCAUUCAUUCGCCACACAUGCACAUCUUGAUUAAACUUAUUGAUUUGUUUCUUUGGAUCCAUGGUUUGACUAUACAAUAAAUGUCUUGUAAGUAUGUAUACUUUUAUCUCCCACCUAUGAGCUCCAGAUAUUAAAGCCUUAUUAGAGUAGGGUGAGAGAGGAGGCAAUGUCACUAUGCCUUACACCACAAAUACUACAAAUCUUGAGAGAAGGCAUAUACCAUCACUGCCUUGGUAAGGAUCCAGAAAUACCACAAAAGAGAGAUAUGAGAGAAUCAUACAAGGAAUCUCUGAGUUUUAUUUGAAAAUCUGCAAAAACCCCAGAGCUAUAGCUGAUCAAGAAUAAGAGACAUGGCACAUGGCUAGACUGUUCUAUCUUUUAAGGAGUCUCAACAUGAUAAAGGUUAGAUAUUUAUGCUAACACUUAAUCAGUUCCACAAGCUUUGUUGUCUAUUUGAGCUCUACAGAAUUUAAGAAUGUAAGAAGACUAGCAGACGGAGGACAUUCUAAUCGCUGUCAGAAUGCUGCUGACUUUCAAAUACACCUCUGCCACCUUUGCUUAGUGUGCUUAAUAAAUAAAUAAAGUAGCUAUGCUAAUCUGUAUCUAAAUAAAACUUAAGCAUGGAUAUGAUAAAUAGUUGCUCUGCCUAAUUUGUAAAUUUUAAGUUCUCUCUCAAGUUUAGAUAUAACUGUUAUAAUUUAAAGCUUGCUCUAGACCUAAACUUGUGGGAUGAAAACUUGAUCUGAAGUCUAAGUUGUUAACGGAUAUGAUAUGGGAAGGUUGAGCUGCUGUUUAUCUGUUCCUAGAGAUGCUAGAAUUCUGGAGAAUUUUAUCUUUAAAAAUCUUUAAAAUGUUGCAUGAUGAGUUCCUGUAUGAUGAGAGUUUAAAUUCCUACCACAGCCAUAUAUGCAUGCUUGCUAGACUUUGAGCCACACAUUUAUUUACUACUUAUGAGCAUUGAGUGUGGUCAAGCUGUGUAGACCCUUAGGAGCUUGUCAUGUGAUUAAAUCAAGAUUUCACUUGCACGUUCACUCAUAUAUGCUACUUCUACUCUGGAAGUACCAUCCACAUAUAUCCACCCAUUCCAUCUACAGAAUCACCCAAAAAUAUUCUACUCCUAAUCCGGGAGAGAAUAACCAAAAAUAUCUCUGUUUUCCCCUUGUGAAACAAAUGCUCAAGUUAUCUUGUUACAACCACUUGCUAUAUUAUCUCAAGAGAUGGAUGCUCUAAAAAAAAAGAGAGAUACGAGGAAAUAAAAAGGAGCAAGUGCUCGGAACCUCGAAAGAAAAGAAAAAGUGAGACGAGAGGUAAAAAUGGACAAGUGUCCGACAGUAGAAUUAGGGGUACAAGAUACCCACCUGAGAGACAAGAAAAAGAAGAGCAUCUCAUUCUCCUCAUAAAGUUUCAAAAGCAAGAAAGGUAUGUAUCCCCUCA